rnacentral:piRNA from 1 species
UCUCUUUUUUCCUGCGAUGUGUGCUUUG